UACGUUGGGUGCGAGCGUUAAUCGGAAUUACUGGGCGUAAAGCGUGCGCAGGCGGUUUUUCAAGUCUGAUGUGAAAGCCCCGGGCUUAACCUGGGAACUGCGUUGGAAACUGAAAGACUAAAGUGCGGCAGAGGGGGGUAGAAUUCCACGUGUAGCAGUGAAAUGCGUAGAUAUGUGGAGGAAUACCGAUGGCGAAGGCAGCCCCCUGGGUCGACACUGACGCUCAUGCACGAAAGCGUGGGUAGCAAACAGG
rnacentral:rRNA from 1 species